rnacentral:tRNA from 2 species
GCGCCCGUAGCUCAGCUUGGACAGAGCAGCGGAUUUCUAUUCCGUAGGUCGGGGGUUCGAAUCCUCCCGGGCGCG